rnacentral:rRNA from 1 species
AUGAUUUUAGGUGCUUGCACUUGAAAGAUUUAACAUUGAGACGAGUGGCGAACUGGUGAGUAACACGUGGGUAACCUGCCCUUGAAGUAGGGGAUAACACUUGGAAACAGGUGCUAAUACCGUAUAACAACCAAAACCACCUGGUUUUGGUUUAAAAGACGGCUUCGGCUGUCACUUUAGGAUGGACCCGCGGCGUAUUAGCUUGUUGGUAAGGUAACGGCCUACCAAGGCGAUGAUACGUAGCCGACCUGAGAGGGUAAUCGGCCACAUUGGGACUGAGACACGGCCCAAACUCCUACGGGAGGCAGCAGUAGGGAAUCUUCCACAAUGGACGAAAGUCUGAUGGAGCAACGCCGCGUGAGUGAUGAAGGGUUUCGGCUCGUAAAACUCUGUUGUUGGAGAAGAACAGGUGUCAGAGUAACUGUUGACAUCUUGACGGUAUCCAACCAGAAAGCCACGGCUAACUACGUGCCAGCAGCCGCGGUAAUACGUAGGUGGCAAGCGUUGUCCGGAUUUAUUGGGCGUAAAGCGAGCGCAGGCGGUUUUUUAGGUCUGAUGUGAAAGCCUUCGGCUUAACCGGAGAAGUGCAUCGGAAACCGGGAGACUUGAGUGCAGAAGAGGACAGUGGAACUCCAUGUGUAGCGGUGAAAUGCGUAGAUAUAUGGAAGAACACCAGUGGCGAAGGCGGCUGUCUGG